GACGAACGCUGGCGGCGUGCUUAACACAUGCAAGUCGUACGGUAAGGCCCUUUCGGGGGUCCACGAGUGGCGAACGGGUGAGUAACACGUGAGUAACCUGCCCACAACUUUGGGAUAACGCUAGGAAACUGGUGCUAAUACUGGAUAUGUGCUCCUGCUGCAUGGUGGGGGUUGGAAAGCUCCGGCGGUUGUGGAUGGACUCGCGGCCUAUCAGCUUGUUGGUGGGGUAGUGGCCUACCAAGGCGGCGACGGGUAGCCGGCCUGGGAGGGUGACCGGCCACAUUGGGACUGGGGUACGGCCCAGACUCCUACGGGAGGCAGCAGUGGGGAAUAUUGCACAAUGGGCGCAAGCCUGAUGCAGCAACGCCGCGUGCGGGAUGACGGCCUUCGGGUUGUAAACCGCUUUCAGCAGGGACGAAGCUUUUUGUGACGGUACCUGCAGAAGAAGCACCGGCUAACUACGUG
rnacentral:rRNA from 1 species